AUACACCGAAGGCCUUGAAAAUUUCUGGUGCAGGUUCCAAAUGACAAGAAAUUUCUCUACGGGAAUCUAAAAUGCACCACGCCAGUUUUGCUGAAUCUGUCCAGAUAUUUAGGAAGUGGAGCAAGGGAUUCACUCGAUCAUCCUUCCUGCUCAGGCUGUGGGGAGGAUUUCACUCUAUCAUCUGACCGACUGGCACGCCUGUCAUUUUAAACAGGUGAUUCCCAUUCAUCUGCUCAGACGGAGACUCAUCUGAUUAAGGAGGGUAAUCAGCGCUUCCUUAGUUUUCGGAAAGGCCAACAGUUUCGCUCUAACUCAUCGACUAAGGUGAAAGGUGUUUCUUUUUUUUAUAGACUCCUAGAUUUCAUUUGUUCACUAUGAUACAAUUUCAGACCAAUAUGAUAGACUUCUAUUAAACACCGGUUAACUUUAUGACAAUAAAUUAGUUUUGGUUAAUAUUUAUGCACUAAAUACUGACUAUACUGAAUUUAAGCACUUUUUUGCAUUUCUUCCCAAUUUAUAUGAAUAUAUGGUAAUAAUGGGUGGAGAUUUUAAUUGAUGUCUGAAACGUAUGAUGGAUAAGUCUGUGCCUAAUCAGGUACUUACAAACAAAUCUGCUAUUUUUAUUAAUUCCUUCUUAGUUGACUCUGGAAUUUUAGAAAUUAGGAGGUUUUUACAUCCUAAUGAAAAAGAGUUCUCUUUUUUCUCAUGUAUAUCAUAAUUACUCUAGAUUCCUUUACACCUUUAUUGAUUUUCGAUUAGUUUCAUUUGUCACUGCCUGUGAAUAUGAUAACAUUGCCAUUUCCGAUCAUGCACCUUUGAAAUGAUCAGUUAAGUUAACUGAUGUAACCUUUGGUACCAAACAAUGGCGGUUCAACUCUAUUUUACUUCAGGGCUUAAAUUUUAUUAAUUUCAUUAAAGAACAGAUUGCUUUUUUCUUUUCAACUAACUCAAUGGAAGAAAUUUUAAGUGGGAUAUCACGCGAUGCCUUUAAAACAUAUAUCCGAGGGUAAAUUAUUUCACACUCUGCUGGAUUGAAAAAAAAAUAAUUUCAAAUUAAUAAUGAAAUACGUACAUUGGUUGAUAAGAUUAAAGAAAUUGAUAGAAAUUAUUCUAUUGCUCCCCAUUUGAUGCUUUAUAAAGAGAGAGUUGAACUUCAGAUGCAACAUCAUUUGUUAUUAACAUCCCUGAUUGAAAAUCAGUUACUUUAUAUAUUUGUUGAUAAAUUGGGUAAAUUAUUGGCUAACCAAUUAAAAGCUGCUUUAGCGAAACUUCAGAUUAAUAGGGUUCUUAAACAGGAUGGUACUUUGACGGUUGACCAUGACGAAAUUAACAAAUUUUUUCAAGAAUUUUAUACCAAUUUAUACCAAUCAGAAUUUCCUGAGGAUUCUAUCAUAAUGCAUGAAUUUUUCAGGAAAUUAAAUAUUCUGAAAUUAUCAGUUGAUGAACAUUUAGUAUUAGACACACCCAUUACUGAAGAGGAAAUAAAGAAAGCAAUUUAUUCAAUGAAUUCUGGUAAAGCACCUGGUCCGGAUGAGUAUACAGCUGAAUUUUUAAAAUCUUUUUCCGGUUUACUUUCUCCCUGGUUAGGUAAAAUUUUUAAAGAUGCUUUAUUUGUACAUAAGUUACCACAAACAUUUUAUGAAGCAUCAAUUUAUUUAAUUCCCAAAAAUGAUAAAUGAUCUCACUGAAUGUGCAACAGACAGAAAAAUAUCUUUGUGAAUGUUGUAUCUAAAAUCCUUUCUCAAAUAUUAGCAAUUAGAUUGGUGAAGAUAUUGCCACAAAUUGUCUCCGAGCAUCAGACAGGAUUUAUUAAAAAUCAUUAUACACAUUUUAAUGUUUGGAGGUUAAUGAACAUUGUAUACAUGACUUUAUCUAAGACACCAGAAUGUGUUAUCUCGGUCGAUGCCGAGACGGCGUUUGAUACAUUUGAAUGGGAAUAUUUGUUUAAAAUACUAGAGAAAUUUACUUUUAGCCCAAAAUUUAUAUCUUGGAUGCAAUUGAUAUAACAUAUACCUUUGGCGUCUGUUUCACUAAUAAUCAGAGAUCCCCUUUCUUUAGGCUUUUCCAAGGUACUAGACAAGGCUGUCCCUUACUAUCAGAUAUUGGCCUGGAGCCCUUGGCAAUUGCUAUUCAUGAUUCAUCCAAUAUAUUUGGUGUUACUCAUGGGAAUGGGACGCGUAAAGUAUCACAAUAUGCAGAUAACCUGUCGCUAGAUAUUUCUAAUCCAGAGUAAACCAUUCCUGCAGUAAUAACACAUCUUGCACAGUUUAGUAGUUUUUCUGCUUAUAAACUGAAUCUUAAUAAAAGUGCUUUCCCCAUUAAAUAGGCAAGUCUCAAUUUACAGACAGUUACCAUUUAGAUUGCUUGCUGAUUAUUUUAUUUAUUUGGGUGUUAAAAUUACUAAGAAGCAGAACGAUUUAUUUAAAGUUAAUGUUUACCCUUAAUUGAUCAGUCUAAACAAUUGUUUACUAAAUGGUCCCCAUUGUCCUUAUCCUUGAUUGGUUCCAUUAAUGCUAUUAAGAUGAUUAUUUUACCUAAAUUUCAGUACCUAUUUCAGGCAGUAUCAAUUUUUAUCUGUAACAUUUUUUUAAUAUUAUUGAUUCUAAAAUUUCUGCAUAUGGAUGGCAGAAUAGAAAUCCCAGGUUAAAUUAGAAAUAGUUACAGAAAUCAAAAAAGGAAGGAGGCUUGGUUUUGCCGGAUCAUAGUUUUUAUUAUCGGGCAAUUAAUGUUCGAUAUUUAAUGUUUUGGACACAAGAGUUGGAUGAACCUUGAGCGUGAGUCUCGACAGGAGUUUUCAUUGGCUUCUAUGUUAGGGGCUGUGGUUCCCUUUGCACUUACUAAAUUUAAUAAGCAAAUGGUAAUUACAAUAAGUAAGCAUACAAUAGGAAUAUGGUUUCAAUUUUGGUACGUUUUUGGACCAAAUAAAUAUAUACUGUCAAGUUCUAUUAUAUCUAUUUUUUUUCUUUCAACCAUUUAAAUUGAUCAAGCUUUUCUUUUAUUGCAAACAAAGGGAAAAUUAUGUUUUCGUGACUUAUUUAUGGAUGAUUGUUUUAUUUCUUUUGAACAACUUUCUAAUAUAUAUAAUUCGCCUAGAUCACACUUUUUCUGAUAUUUACAGAUUAGAAACUUUUUGAAUGUUAUUUUACCUUCUGUUCCGAUAUCACAUCGAAUUGAAGUUACGGGGGAAAAAAGUUCAAAUCCACAUCAGAAGAGUUUAUUAUCAUUUAUUUAUGAUUUAAUUAUGAAAAUACACUUGGAUACUUCUGAUAAAAUUAAGAAUGAGUGGGAAAGAGAACUUCGGAUACCUUUACCUAUGCAGAAAUGGGAGAAAAUUCUUGAACUAGAAAAUACCUCUUCAGUGUGUGUCAGACAUGCCUUCAUGCAAUUUAAGGUGGUUCAUCGGGCUCAUAUGUCCAAGGAUAAGUUUGCUCAUUUUUACUGCCAUUAAAUCCUGUUUCUGAUGGAUGUAAUUCCGAGGUAGCUUCCUUGACACAUAUGUUCUGGUCUUGUCCUCCUCUAAAAAAAUAUUGGAAGGAUAUUUUGAGAUAUUAUCUCAGUAGUUCUGCGUAUUCAUUUACAACCACAUCCUACUACUGCAAUUUUUGGACGACCGGUGAUGGACUCUAGUCAUUUAUCCUCGUCAGCUUGUCGUCUAAUUGCAUUUGUUACAUUAAUGGCCAGCAGAUCUACUUUACUUAAAUGGAAAGGUUCCAAUCUCCCUACUACAUUUGAAUGGUUUUCCCAAACCAUAGCAUGUCUAAACUUGGAAAAAAUUAGGAGUGGUACUGUGGAUCCUUCGGUUGAAUCUGAAGAGACUUUGAGGCCAUUUAUUCAAUAUUUUCAUAUGAUUUAAGUUGACCCUUUCCGAAUCUUGUGUAAUAAGUUUUUGUUCUUGUAUAGACAAGCGGAGUUAACGCCAAAUAAUUUCAGCCGAUGUAAUAUGACAGCCCAAUUCUGUCUUUUUUAAAGUUUAGUGUUUUUUCUAGUUUACGAUUUUUUUCACCUUAUAUAAUAUCUCUUUCAUGGUUAGUUGCUAUGAGAUUAGGAGGUUAAACUAUAUUUGUCAUUUGAAAUCUGUGCUUUUACGUGUCAACCGUUAUUAAUGUAAUCCCGAUCUCUUUGUAUCGUUAUAUAAUUGCUAUGCUUAUUAAAUUUGAAACUUAAUAAAAAGAUUGAAAAAGAAAAGGAAA